rnacentral:rRNA from 1 species
GACGAACGCUGGCGGCGUGCUUAACACAUGCAAGUCGAACGGAAAGGCCUCUUUCGGGGGGUACUCGAGUGGCGAACGGGUGAGUAACACGUGAGUAACCUGCCCUUGACUUUGGGAUAACUUCAGGAAACUGGGGCUAAUACCGGAUAGGAGCUCCUGCUGCAUGGUGGGGGUUGGAAAGUUUCGGCGGUUGGGGAUGGACUCGCGGCUUAUCAGCUUGUUGGUGGGGUAGUGGCUUACCAAGGCUUUGACGGGUAGCCGGCCUGAGAGGGUGACCGGCCAUAUUGGGACUGAGAUACGGCCCAGACUCCUACGGGAGGCAGCAGUGGGGAAUAUUGCACAAUGGGUGGAAGCCUGAUGCAGCAACGCCGUGUGCGGGAUGACGGCCUUCGGGUUGUAAACCGCUUUCGCUCAUGACGAAGCUUUGUGUGACGGUAGUGGGUAAAGAAGCACCGGCUAACUACGU